GGGGAAUAUUGCACAAUGGAGGGAACUCUGAUGCAGCAACGCCGCGUGAGUGAAGAAGGUUUUCGGAUCGUAAAACUCUGUCAUUGGGGAAGAAUAAAUGACGGUACCCAAUGAGGAAGCCCCGGCUAACUACGUGCCAGCAGCCGCGGUAAUACGUAGGGGGCGAGCGUUGUCCGGAAUUACUGGGCGUAAAGGGUACGUAGGCGGCUAUAUAAGUCAGGUGUGAAAUACCAGUGCUUAACACUGGAAUUGCAUUUGAAACUGUGUAGCUUGAGUGCAGGAGAGGAAAGUGGAAUUCCUAGUGUAGCGGUGAAAUGCGUAGAGAUUAGGAGGAACACCAGUGGCGAAGGCGACUUUCUGGACUGUAACUGACGCUGAGGUACGAAAGCGUGGGUAGCGAACA
rnacentral:rRNA from 2 species